rnacentral:rRNA from 1 species
ACCGCGACCCCAGGUCAGUCGGGACUACCCGCUGAGUGA